UUGACGGGGCCCGCACAAGCGGUGGAGCAUGUGGUUUAAUUCGAAGCAACGCGAAGAACCUUACCAGGUCUUGACAUCCCUGACAACCCGAGAGAUCGGGCGUUCCCCUUCGGGGGACAGGGUGACAGGUGGUGCAUGGUUGUCGUCAGCUCGUGUCGUGAGAUGUUGGGUUAAGUCCCGCAACGAGCGCAACCCUCGACCUUAGUUGCCAGCAUUCAGUUGGGCACUCUAAGGUGACUGCCGGCUAAAAGUCGGAGGAAGGUGGGGAUGACGUCAAAUCAUCAUGCCCCUUAUGACCUGGGCUACACACGUGCUACAAUGGGCGGUACAAAGGGUCGCGAACCCGCGAGGGGGAGCCAAUCCCAAAAAGCCGCUCUCAGUUCGGAUUGCAGGCUGCAACUCGCCUGCAUGAAGCCGGAAUCGCUAGUAAUCGCGGAUCAGCAUGCCGCGGUGAAUGCGUUCCCGGGUCUU
rnacentral:rRNA from 1 species